AUCAAAAUUUUCAUGCAAUUCGGUGGUGAUACGGAAAAUUACACGGUAACGCCGUAGUUCGCAUUUAUUUACUGGCCCAAGAUGGCUUGUUUAAAAUACUCCAUUGAGCUCUGAUGAACCUCGUUCCGAAUUCUCAACAGCCAAUAGAAUGAACCGUUUCGAAAUCAAGUGGUGAAAUUUUAAGGGAAAAAAAUGUGAAUUCGACUCGAUAUAUCGGAUUUUGUUUUCAUUUCUCAGCCUUCAAUUAACAGCGAAAAAUUAAAUAUUUCAUCUGUAACCAUGCAUGAGAAAUGUUUGAAAUUGGUUUUUAGCUUUAAAAUCAAUAUACAGGGUGGCCGGGCGAAAACGAAACGCCAUUAUCAAAAACUCUUUAUAAAAUUUUGUCUUCAACUGCAGCAGAAAAGAGAGUUAUGACUUGUAACGUGACAGACGUCACAUCUUUGUCAUUUUAUUUUUAAAUAAUUAUUUUAUUCUAUGUUCUUUAAGAUUUCAUUAACAACUAUCUUCUGUAUUUGUUUUAACUUGUUUUUCCGUUAAAGACGUGUUUGGCGCCCUCUUUUGUUAUCCUCUAUCUACUAUCUCUCUUUUCAUCUAAAAUAUAAGUCAUCAUACUGAACAUACUUCAUAUAUCCUUACGCAUUGUUAUUUGUAAGCUUUAUUUUUUAUUAUUCUUUAUUUUUAAGUGUAUACUGGGCAAUUUUAUACUUAGGAACGAAUAAUAAUUUUAUAUAUGUAGUUACGUGGCUAAAGGUUCUGAACCAAGGCCAGAAUCAAAACAAAAAAAAAGAUAUCUGUCUUUCAUUACGGAACAUGCUUAUCCUAUCUUUCUACAGUUCACGCUGUCAUGUCAGUGACUGACAAUUCUCAAAAUAGUAGUGGAAAAUUAAUUUCACUAUAAAAGCCAAUUACAGGCUGAUAAUAGCUAUUUAUUUGAAUAAAUCAUCUCUUGGAGAUAAUGGACCGUCGGGGGAUUCUAAUUUAGGAAUACAAGAUGUUCGAGGAAUACGUAUUGUUGCUCGGAAGGACCUCAAAGAAAACGACGUCGAUGGUUUCAACAUUCACCAGAAACUUAAACAUUUAAUGCUGCCGGAGAACUGCAAAAUUCUCACUUACUUAAAAAAGCAGACGGAAAAUAUUGUGAUCACGAACAAGGGUACAAAGAAUGGGGGAGUGACAUUUUUGAAGAUGUUUCGCAAGGAAAUGCUACACAUAUACCUACUAACUGUUACAGAUAUGAAUAGAACCCACAAUACUGAAAUCAGAAGUAAGAAAAGAAAUAUAGCAAGCCAAAAAUAAUAAAAUCACUGAACCAGAUCAAAUCUCAGCUGAGCUUCUUAAACUUUUGUACGAAGAAAACAUUAUCGACUUAACCAUUUUAUUUAAUAAAAUU
rnacentral:lncRNA from 1 species